AGGGAUAUAGCUCAGUGGUAGAACAUCUGUCCUCCCUGUUGAUGUCCCAGGUUCAGUCCCUGGCAUCUCCA